AAAACCUUUGUAGAGACAGAGCUGCUGUGGAAACACAAAACUAUUUGAUUGGCUGAGCUAUUAAACUGGCCCCGCCCACUGAAGUUGAGCUCAUCCAAUGACAUUAUUUGUUGGUCAUUGUGCUGCAGUGGAAGAACAUUGUUCAUGUGCUGUCUGUCUGGCUUUAAUAACUCCAAAGACAUGUUGCUGCACCUCUUUUUGCUUCUAUCUCACAUUAUAGGACUAACAGCUGGAGACUCAAUCACUCCUCAACAACCUGAAGUCAC